rnacentral:rRNA from 1 species
UGAGUAACGCGUGGGUAACCUGCCCUUGCAGUCUGGGAUACCCUUCCGAAAGGGAGGCUAAUACCGGAUACGUUCCUCGGGUCGAGAGACUUGGGGAGGAAAGGUGGCGCAAGCUGCCGCUCUUGGAGGGGCUCGCGGCCUAUCAGCUAGUUGGCGGGGUAAUGGCCCACCAAGGCUAUGACGGGUAGCUGGUCUGAGAGGACGACCAGUCACACGGGGACUGAGACACGGCCCCGACUCCUACGGGAGGCAGCAGUGGGGAAUUUUCCGCAAUGGGCGAAAGCCUGACGGAGUGACGCCGCGUGUGGGACGAAGGCCUUCGGGUCGUAAACCACUGUCAGUGGGAAAGAAGGGCAUCGGCGCGAUAACCGCCGGUGCUUGACGGUACCUGCAGAGGAAGCCCCGGCUAACUCUGUGCCAGCAGCCGCGGUAAGACAGAGGGGGCAAGCGUUGCUCGGAAUUACUGGGCGUAAAGGGCGCGUAGGCGGGACGGCAAGUCGGUCGUGAAAUCCCUCGGCUCAACUGAGGAACGUCGAUCGAUACUGCCGUCCUUGAGGGUUGCAGAGGAGACUGGAAUUCCCGGUGUAGCGGUGAAAUGUGUAGAGAUCGGGAGGAACACCGGUGGCGAAGGCGGGUCUCUGGGCAACUCCUGACGCUGAGGCGCGAAAGCGUGGGGAGCAAAUGGGAUUAGAUACCCCAGUAGUC